rnacentral:rRNA from 1 species
AACGAACGCUGGCGGCAUGCCUAACACAUGCAAGUCGAACGAGACCUUCGGGUCUAGUGGCGCACGGGUGCGUAACGCGUGGGAACCUGCCCUUAGGUUCGGAAUAACUCCCCGAAAGGGGUGCUAAUACCGGAUAAUGUCUUCGGACCAAAGAUUUAUCGCCUUUGGAUGGGCCCGCGUUGGAUUAGCUAGUUGGUAGGGUAAAAGCCUACCAAGGCGACGAUCCAUAGCUGGUCUGAGAGGAUGAUCAGCCACACUGGGACUGAGACACGGCCCAGACUCCUACGGGAGGCAGCAGUGGGGAAUAUUGGACAAUGGGCGAAAGCCUGAUCCAGCAAUGCCGCGUGAGUGAUGAAGGCCUUAGGGUUGUAAAGCUCUUUUACCCGGGAUGAUAAUGACAGUACCGGGAGGAUAAGCUCCGGCUAACUCCGUGC